rnacentral:rRNA from 1 species
UAGGCAGGUACAGAUGGAUGCUACCGGGCGACCGGAUGCGGAUCUCGAAAGCCUGUCCCAGUUCGGACUGGAGUCUGCAACCCGACUCCACGAAGUUGGAUUCGCUAGUAAUCGCGCAUCAGCCAUGGCGCGGUGAAUACGUUCCCGGGCCUUGUACACACCGCCCGUCAAGCCAUGGGAGCCGGGGGCGCCUGAAGUCCGGGACCGCGAGGACCGGCCUAGGGCGAAACUGGUAACUGGGGCUAAGUCGUAACAAGGUAUC